UUUCCUGCUACCCAUUGUUGUAGGAGAAUUUGCAAUUGAAAAACUAAUUGAUGCCCUUCGCAGUGGUGAAGAUGGGGACUGUGCAGAUCAAUUUGAUUUUGUGAAGGAUCUUACAGACAAAGUUGGUUU